rnacentral:misc_RNA from 1 species
GGACUAGCACAGAGCAGCGGCGAGAAAAUGACCGCUGGAAGAAGAACUUCUGCAAUAAAAGAAUAAUAUAAUAUAUCAUAGGGACUGAGGUUAUAAAUGCAUCCCACUUUCUCAUUCUCUCUCGUCUACUUGACCUGCGUUUCUCUCUUAUACUUUUACAUAUUCUUUUAAAGCUCUUCAAGAAAAUUCGCCACAAGGCAUAUCGGCUUUCUCCAUAUCAUUCUAUUUUCCGACUAUUUAUUGCUAUUUUAAUGGCUUCUUUCAAUUAUUUCAUGUUCUUCUACCCCUACUUCUUUUGGCUUUGUUUUUACUGCAUGCACCAUUCUUAGUGACAAGCUCUAAUUUCAGAUACAGGUUCAACUCAUCGGUCAAUAUUGCUUCUAACAAUUCCACCCAGCACCACCACAAAUGGGUCGGACCCGUCGGCCACCGUGUGAUCACCGUUGACAUUAAUGGGUCUGGCGAGUUCUAGUCUGUGCAAACUGCAGUUGAUUCUGUCCCGCAGAACAAUUCAGAAAACGUGCUGAUUCUAAUUCGGGCUGGAUGCUACGUGUAAUAAUUUUCUCUAAAUCAAAAUAUAUAGUUUUCCUUGCUGCUGCUGCUGGUUGGUCUAUUUGUAGACCCCGAUUGUCUAAGGAACUUUCAAAAGUUUAUUAGUAAUUUAUAAAUUAACAUUAAAUAAUAUAUAUUAAUAAUUUUCACUUAAUUAAUUCAGUUAAAUUAAAAAUUUCCAUUCAAUUAUAUGUAAUUAUCUAUUAAAUUUCGGUUGGAUAAUUCGUUUAACAGAAUGCUUACCCGUCAAACUUAAUAUAUAGGUGGUGGGUGGCUGGGUGCAGAGAGAAGGUGGUGGUGCUGGUAAAGAAACCAUAUAUAACGUUUCAAGAUUCAGGGAGAAACGUGACGUUCCUCGAAUGGCAUGAUAGAGCAAGCGAUCGUGGUCCCAAAGGCCAGCAGCUGGGUACUUACAGAGCAGCUUCAGUCACUGUUUUUGCCA